rnacentral:rRNA from 1 species
CAGAGGUCUCAACCGUUGUUCGGAUUCAUUGGGCGUAAAGGGUGCGUAGGCGGCGGAGUAAGUCAGGUGUGAAAUCUCGGGGCUCAACCCUGAAACUGCACUUGAUACUGCUUCGCUCGAGUACUGGAGAGGAGACUGGAAUUUACGGUGUAGCAGUGAAAUGCGUAGAUAUCGUAAGGAAGACCAGUGGCGAAGGCGAGUCUCUGGACAGUUACUGACGCUGAGGCACGAAGGCCAGGGGAGCAAACGGGAUUAGAUACCCCGGUAGUCCUGGCAGUAAACGGUGCACGUUUGGUGUGGGAGGAUUCGACCCCUUCCGUGCCGGAGCUAACGCGUUAAACGUGCCGCCUGGGAAGUACGGUCGCAAGAUUA